AUGCAAGUCGAGCGAGACGUAGCAAUACCGAGCCGAGCGGCGAACGGGUGAGUAACGCGUAAGCAAUCUGCCCACAAUCGGGAACAACCGUGCCAACGCGCGGCUAAUGCCGGAUAUUGUAGUCUACUGCAUAGUAGGCCACGAAAGAUUUAUGUUGUGGGAUGAGCUUGCGUCCGAUUAGCUAGUUGCGGGUAAUAGCCCACCAAGGCGACGAUCGGUAGCCGGCCUGAGAGGGUGAUCGGCCACAUUGGGACUGAGAUACGGCCCAGACUCCUACGGGAGGCAGCAGUAGGGAAUAUUGCGCAAUGGGGGGAACCCUGACGCAGCAACGCCAACGUGUGGGAAGAAGCAUUUCGGUGUGUAAACCACUGUCGGAAAGGAAUAACGGAAGACUUCGGUCUUUAUGAAUGUACUUUUAGAGGAAGCACCGGCAAACUUCGUGCCAGCAGCUGC
rnacentral:rRNA from 1 species